rnacentral:rRNA from 1 species
AGAGUUUGAUCCUGGCUCAGAUUGAACGCUGGAGGCGUGCUUAACACAUGCAAGUCGUGCGAGAAAGGGACUUCGGUCCUGAGUAGAGCGGCGCACGGGUGAGUAACGCGUGGGUGAUCUCCCUUGGUGAUCGGGAUAACAGCGGGAAACUGCUGCUAAUACCGGAUAAUCUUCAUGUUUAACUUCAUGGGGUAAAGGUGGCCUCUGCUUGCAAGCUACCACACCGAGAUGAGCCCGCGUCUCAUUAGCUAGUUGGUAGGGUAAUGGCCUACCAAGGCUACGAUGAGUAGCUGGUCUGAGAGGAUGACCAGCCACACUGGGACUGGAACACGGCCCAGACUCCUACGGGAGGCAGCAGUGGGGAAUAUUGCGCAAUGGGCGAAAGCCUGACGCAGCGACGCCUCGUGAGGGAUGAAGGUCUUCGGAUCGUAAACCUCUGUCAAGAGGGAAGAAACCCUUGGGUUCGAAUAGGGCCCUUGGCUGACGGUACCUCAAAAGGAAGCACCGGCUAACUCCGUGCCAGCAGCCGCGGUAAUACGGAGGGUGCAAGCGUUAAUCGGAAUCACUGGGCGUAAAGCGCUCGUAGGCKGUUUGGUCAGUCAGAUGUGAAAGCCCUCGGCUCAACCGGGGAACUGCAUUUGAUACUGCCAGACUUGAGUGUCGGAGAGGGUGGCGGAAUUCCGGGUGUAGGAGUGAAAUCCGUAGAUAUCCGGAGGAACACCAGUGGCGAAGGCGGCCACCUGGACGACAACUGACGCUGAGGAGCGAAAGCGUGGGUAGCAAACAGGAUUAGAUACCCUGGUAGUCC